rnacentral:lncRNA from 1 species
AUUUAAUAGGAGAUCCUGACUUGUUACAAAAAUUAAAUUAAUAAAGAACAUUCGUAACAAAGCAAGUAAUAUUCAAUAUCUUAUACAUCGAAUAAGGAAAAAAUAUAUGUUCAACAUGCACGAUGACGCAAAAAAUGCAGAUAUUUUAAUAAAUGCAAGUGCAAUAUAAAGAAAGGUCUAUGUAAGCAGAUAUGUAUAGAUGCAUAAACCUAAUUAUGGUCAUUUGUAAUCUUUAGUUACAAGCAUAUCUUUAAUUAAUGAUAAUUUAGAUGUAUUCUAAGAAUUUAUGAUUAAGUUGAUUUAUUAGAAAUAACAGUCCUUUCUGUGCUUUUCGUAUUAUUCUGUAAAUUAUAAAAUACAGAAUAUAAUAGCAUGAAGUGUGGAAUACUUGCUUCACAGAGUCAAUUCACGUUCGGAAGGACAGAAAAGGACCAAACCCAAUUGGAGUUAAUUAGGAUUCUACUGGAAGCAUGCAGGGAACUUUUUUACGCUCGGUUAUUGCUAUAUACCCAUAGUAUUUAAGAUUCAAAGUAACAAAAGUAAGUAAGGUUUUUCUUAGUUCCAAUACGUAUUCCAUUCAUUUAUACUUUAUCAAUGAUAAAUUGAUAUUAUUUUACAUAUAAUGCAAAUGUAUUAAAAAUAUAAUGCAAGCAAGUAUAUUUAAACAUAUUAGAGACAUAUAUGACUACAAUAUUGUUAUAUACAAUAGAAAUUUUUGUCCAAAUUAUUUAAUUUUCUGAUCCUAUUUAAAAAAGAGAAAAAAUAAAUAUUCAAAGUGAAAUCACAGGACCGAGCGUAAAAACCCGAGAGAAAAACGAAAAAACAAAAUUCAAUGUGUCCAACUGAAAAGGUUUUAUUGAAAAAAUUUCUAUGUCUAAAUACAAGUGUGUGCUUGUGGUCCAUAUAUAAUAUGUGAUGUGUGCAAAUUCGUUUUUUUCUUUCUUUUAAAGAUAUUCGGAGUUUACUGUAAGUAAUACUAAAACAAAUCGCUGAAAGUUAUUCUAACAUGUAAACAAUGUGCAAUCAAUUUAAAUGCACAUAAUGCAAUAAAAAUAGCAUAACUACUUUAAUUAUGAACAGUAUCUCAUAUGUAAAUCUUCUAAUUCUGACUUAAGCUUCAUUGUUAUGACUAAAUAGACACAACUUAAUAACGCUCUAACACUGGAAUACUAUUAGAGUAAAACUGCUGUAAUGGCAGAAGCGCACAGUUCUUUUCACAUAGUAGUAGAUUGUUAGCUCUGCUUGUUAGAAUGUUAUAUACUCCAAAUAAUAUAAGAAAAGAACCAACACCAGAAA